GGAAACGACGAAUAAUACCCUAUGAAACUAUCACUUCGCAUGAAGCGAUAGUCAAAGUGUUAGCGGUGUAAGAUGGACUUGCGUCUGAUUAGCUAGUUGGUGGGAAAAAGCCACCAAGGCAACUAUCAGUAGCCGGCUUGAGAGAGUGUACGGCCACAUUGGGACUGAGACACGGCCCAG
rnacentral:rRNA from 1 species